AUGGACACAUUACCAAACAAACUGCGCAACUGCUGGCGGCACUUUGUAAGACGCCAACAGAGAAAUACCGGCCGUAGGCAUAUCGCUUCGGCUUCGACUGACGGGGGUGGCAGAGGUGAGGGGAUCGAAAAAUCCCUGAGGACGCCUACCGAAUUGCCGAUGGGCGACCAGUGACAGACAAUCUGCCGUCGCGUGCGCAUUUAAGUUACCUAAUUAAUAAAUCGCAUGUGCAUGUCACUAUGUCGGGAUUUUCAAAUCGCGACUAUUACGAAAUGGGGCGAGUGUAUUUGCUCAGCAAUGAACGCCUUCGUGCAGCUUGCACAAUGUGCGAACGAGUGAGUGUUCCUAGGCUACGAGCCCAAGGAAUCCUGAACCCCGCAGUGCCUAAUGUGAGGAACAAGUAUUUUAAAUAAACUAAAUGACAAUUUUAUUAAAACGUGCUCGGUUGUGCCUUUAAAGGAAUGGACUUCAUUUCGAACAAUUGUUAAAAUACAGUGAUUAAAAUUUUCAAAUUAACAAAAACAAACUUAACACAGAAUAGCACCAGCCACUGUCGCCGAAAUAUGGCGGGCAGCAAGACUCAGCAGGGUGAAGAUGCGCGCAAAACAACUUGUCAGACACUUCUUUCCUACUUUGCACUCUGGGUAAAUUCCCAGAGUCCCGCAUUCGGAUGGGCUCCUAGUUCCUGAUAGAUGUCCCAGCAAUGAGCAAUUAACAACAGUAGUUUAUGUCGAAGCAUUACUCUGUGAUUUUAUAGCUCUGUGCUGUCAUUUAAAAAACGUCAAAAAAGAAAUUAUCUGUCAAUGUCAUUCUAACAAAUUUUUCAUGACCUAAAACCAUGCGUUCAAUGUAACAUCGCUUUGUAAAAUUGUAUUUAAAUUCACAAAUCAAAAGUAAAAAGCUGAGUCUACGUUUAUUCCGGUCUUUUAUUUCUUCGUCAUCAAGAGCCACGGCCGGAACAGUUUAGUUAGAGUUAGUCUAUAGGCCCCAUUAUAUGUCCAGAACCUCCAACAGUAAAGACAGCCUCUAAGCAUUAGCUGUCUUUACUAGAUUUGGAGGAAAGAGGCAAAAAAUAAUUAUAUUUUUUGCCUGCUGUCCUUUGAAAUGCAUUUCUGAUAUUAGUGGGGGCAGAGUUCAAUGUAAAAUAGUUAAGUCAAUGAUUAUCACCAAACAUUAUUAUUUUACUAGAAGCACAAACUAUACACUAUGUACCUUAUUAAUAGCUGUCUCUUAUAAGCCUUUCUGUUUAUUAGGAUUCGUGUUAAAUAAAACAUCUUCACUUAAAGAAAUGAGAGUGACUUAUUCAAAGUUAAGUUCAUAAAUAUUUUUCAUAUUAUACGAAUAAUAAUGAGGUAAACAAAAAUAUUUUUGUGAUCGUGACACACUUGUAACAGGUCACUCAAUCAUGUACCAUUCGAUAGAUUUCAAUCAGUAACUUUAAAACAGUAAGGUCGUUCUCCCACGAAACUACUUACAAAAGACUCCUGUUU